rnacentral:rRNA from 1 species
AUGAACGCUGGCGGCGUGCCUAAUACAUGCAAGUCGAGCGCACGGACGAGAAGCUUGCUUCUCUGAUGUUAGCGGCGGACGGGUGAGUAACCCGUGGAUAACCUACCUAUAAGACUGGGAUAACUUCGGGAAACCGGAGCUAAUACCGGAUAAUAUUUUGAACCGCAUGGUUCAAAAGUAAAAGACGGUCUUGCUGUCACUUAUAGAUGGAUCCGCGCUGCAUUAGCUAGUUGGUAAGGUAACGGCUUACCAAGGCAACGAUGCAUAGCCGACCUGAGAGGGUGAUCGGCCACACUGGAACUGAGACACGGUCCAGACUCCUACGGGAGGCAGCAGUAGGGAAUCUUCCGCAAUGGGCGAAAGCCUGACGGAGCAACGCCGCGUGAGUGAUGAAGGUCUUCGGAUCGUAAAACUCUGUUAUUAGGGAAGAACAUAUGUGUAAGUAACUGUGCACAUCUUGACGGUACCUAAUCAGAAAGCCACGGCUAACUACGUG